GAUAGUGAGCAAAAGAUCACACCAGAACAGACAUAUAUAUACACGGCUAAUGCUUCUUCUUUUUUACGGGAACGGAUCGUAAGGCACCUCAUCACAAAUCCUCCGAUUAUUUCUCCUCACAGAGGUUGGAUUCCCCUUGGCCCCUAGUUUGAAGUUUCCAAACGAGUAGCCCUUAAUUUAAUUUCCCAAUCCACUGUUGUCUCAAGAUCGCCAUGUCCGUCGUCGGCUUCCCCUCCUGGAGCCCUUCGCCUUCCUCAGGAACCAAGGUGCCGUUUGCUUGUCGUCGGCUUCCCCUCCUGGAGCCCUUCGUCUUCCUCAGGAACCAAGGUGCUGUUUGCUUAACGAAAUAUAACGUAAAUAGUAAUGAUAAUGAUUCACACUUGAAUAUCGGCGAUAAUAAAUUUGAAUAAGUCUGUAUCUAUCUCUAGUGUAAUAGAUUACGGUUAGACUUAAACAAACAUAAUUUAACAUAAUUUAACGCCCUUCCUCUCUUGUGAGUUUUCCCAAGUACCUCAAUUUAUCCAGGUAGGUAAUAUUGCUGCUGCUACAGUAUUUGUUCUCAAUAGAUUUCGAUUCUGCCAGUUCCAUAUUUGAAUACUGUUGUGCAUGUAUGCAAGUUGUGUGCAUCGCUUUAAUCUUGCAUUAUUGGCAUUUCAUAGGUUCCAACAGCCUAUAAGCUUCAAGUCUCAAAUGUUUAGUAGGCUGCAGGCUAUGCUAGUAUUCUGCAGGCUGGAGAAAGAGCUGUCAAUAUAUACCUUCUGUUAUAGGUUGUUGGAAAUGAAAUUACUAGCAGUUGGACAGACUCAAGUAUACUACUUUUUACCUUCAAAAUGUCGUCUGUUUUUGGCAAUUCUUUCCUUAGUAAACAACUACUUUACGAAUCGCCGAAGGUGCAUGUUCUCUUGGUCACAGUACAGAAGCAAGUUUAAUUUGAACAUCAUCCAUCUAGAGCAUUUUUAAUUUGCCACAAUAUUUGUUUUAUUGCAGGAAGAGGAAGGAUAUGGACUGAGUAAGCCCCUGCCAACUUCAUCCUACUUCUUUUUUUUUUGAAGGAAAUGGCAGGAGCUCUGCCUAAUCAUUAAAAGGAGAUAGUUCAGAAAAUACACUGUACAGGUCCGAGGACCGAGAUAAGACAGACUAGCAAACACAACGUGAGGAGCGCUCCCAACAGACCCGCACAAAUCCGCGAAACCAAUGCAGCAACCCUAAUACUGGAGGAACAUGGCUCUCUUGAAAGUGCACACGUCCUCUUUAAUCUUCAAGGCUAAUUGGAUAGGGGUGAGGGCGCUGUUUUCGAAUAUCCUCCGGUUUCUCUCCUUCCAGAUGUUCCACAGGGUGUAUAUCAUGAGGCCGUUGAAGUCACGCUUUUGGUUCUUUGGGAGCGGGGAGGAUGUAGCUUCCCACCAGUCUUUUAUGCUGGAGAAGUGAGUAGGGUCAGCCUGGGCCAGGAGGCCCAAGCCCUCCCAAACUAGAAUCUGACGCCACACCGCCCGGGCAAAAGGGCAAUGCAAACAGAGGUGGGGGCCGGUCUCCAAGGGACCAUUGCAGAGGGAGCAGUUUGGUUGGUGCGGCCAACCCCGAGUGGCCAGAUUGUUAGCAGUGAGGAGCUUGUCCUGUAGAAGAAUCCAAGCAAAAAUCUUGCACUUUUGCUCUGCCCGUGCCCGCCAAACAAAAUCAGAAUUAAUGUGGCUGUACGAUCCAAUGAAUUGUGCAUUGUAGGCUGAUUUUACCGUGAAGACACCGUCGGGGUUCCAUUUCCAGGCAAUGGAGUCCGGCACCUGUGGUUGGAGGUGGAAAUCAUGGAGUCUAAACCAGAGGGAGACGAAUUCCUCAAUCUGCACCGUGGAGGUAAUCUUGCCUCUCAACGACCUGAUCCAAUUCCCGUCAUUGAUCUCAAUGGCAACUGACUUGUUCUUUCUUGAGACUAGCUCGAAGAGGUGUGGUGCUAGGUUUCUUGGCGCCAUGCCAUCAAGCCAACUGUCGUGCCAGAAUUUGGUUGUCUUGCCAUCUCCAACGGUGACGAUGGUGGAGGCGCUAAAGAGGAGCCUGUCCGCAAGGUUACAAGGCACAUCAAACCCUUUCCAAGGAUGAUCCUCUGUCGUCCAGCUCUUCCAAAGCCACCUUAGCCGGAGGGCGCAGCUGAAUUUGUCGAGGUUGAGAAUGCCCAGACCGCCUAGGGUUUUGGGCUUGCAGACUAGUGGCCAAGCCACAAGACAAUGGCCUCCAUUUGAUUCAGCCUUUCCUCUCCAGAGGAAGGAGCGGCGGAUCCUAUCGAUGCGUUUACGGGCCCAUGUCGCGAGGGGAAAGACCGACAAGUGGUAUGUGGGCAUAGCGGACAGGACGGAAGACAUAAGCGUGAGACGACCAGCCCGAUUGAGCAUGCUUCCUUUCCAUCCGGCCAGACGGUUCUGGAUUUUCUCGAUCAGAGGUUGGACAUGAAUUUUCUGGAGCGCCCGGGUGUGAAGUUGGAGGCCUAGGUAACUACACGGGAAGGUCCCCCUGGUCCCUUGGAAUGGCUGGAGCACGUGGUCUAGGUCUAUGUUAUCACAUCUUAUCGGGUGGAUAGAGCUCUUCUCAAGGUUGGUGACCAGGCCCGAGGCACAGCCAAAAGCGUGCAGGAUGUCUUUGACCGCCAGGAGGUCUUCUCUAGAGGGGUUGAUAAAGAUAGCAGCAUCAUCGGCAUAGAGAGAAGUCCUCAGUUUUGCUGUAGUUAGCGGAAUGGGGGAAAGGAUCCCAUUUCUGGCUGCAAGGUCCAGGAUACGCUGCAGCGGAUCAAUGGCAAGGAUGAACAACAUAGGGGAAAGGGGGUCUCCCUGCCUAACCCCCCUCCUGUGCUGGAUGGUUGCUCCUUGUCGGCCAUUGAGGAGGGCUCGAGACGAGGCGGACCCAAAAAGGAUGGAAAUCCACUCACGCCAACGAGGGCCAAAACCCAUGGUCUGGAGGACUUCCAGGAGAUAGCCCCAAUUAACUGUGUCGAAAGCCUUCUGGAUGUCAAGCUUCAGGAAGAGCGCCGGUUUUUUUUGCUUGUGUAGUCUUCUAACUACGUUAUGCACAUAAAGGAAGUUGUCUUGUAUACAUCUUUUCUGGAUGAAGGCACUUUGGGACUUGGAGAUUAGAGUGUUGAGGAGGGGGGCCAGCCGGUUAGCAAGCAGUUUGGAGAAGAUUUUUGCGAUGUUGUGUAUCAAACUGAUGGGGCGGUAGUCCCCCACUGUCAAAGCAUCCGGCUUUUUAGGUAUAAGCACGAUGUUGGCAGAGUUGAGUAAACGAAAAUCCGCCCCAUCCAUGCUAAGUAUGCUGGGAUAUCAUCAAGGAGGACGUUCAUCCUACUUCUUAACUACAUAUGUCUUCCCGUCCAACCAUUUUGCAUCUGUCAGAAUGGUUCCAUGAGAAAGGCUCCUGUCGUGCUUGUCAACAAAAUUGAAGUAGCGACUCCAUGUUGUGGCCUAGGAAGCACCUAUCUUAUGGUAGAUUUUUAUGCUGUAUGAACAGAUAAGUUAUAUCAACUUUAUCGUGUGUUGUCAAAAAAGAACUUUGUCGUGUGUCCAGCUUUUCUAAGUACAAUAUCAUAUUUCAUGAUAUUUCAAUGUACUUGGAGUUUUAAUGGUGCAUUCCAUUUUAUUUUUCUUUUUGGUUUUCUACGAAUUAUUAAGGCGCUUGAGAAAAGGGGAUGGUACAGGUUUGGACACACUAGGAAAUCUCAGGUCUUUCUUUUAACUAUUGAUAGAAAAAAUGAUGUUGGUGUAACACUUUUUAUUUCGUGAUAACAACCAAUGUGUUUGGGUAACUGUCACAGUGCAUUGGUCUAGAAUGAUAUUUCCUGCAAUUCAUUGUAACUUGCCCUAAAAUGUGAUAAGUUCUUGGCAAUGUUGUUUGUUAUUUGUAAUGGAGGACACUUCUAAUCAACAAAAAUAUAGGGUUGAUUCUUGUAUAUGGUUUCCUAUGUGUGAUCUAUUCUAUUAUAAACAAAAUGUUUCUAUAUGCCUCUAAGAAAUCAUUUGCUAUUACAUGGAAUUGAUUUUCACUAUUGUUUCUUUUCUAUUUGUAGGUUGGUGAGGAUGAUCGAAAGCUGACUGAAGGAAGUAGUUUGUUUUCUAUUGCUAUUG
rnacentral:lncRNA from 1 species